rnacentral:rRNA from 1 species
GAGCCAGCCGUCUAAGGUGGGAUAGAUGAUUGGGGUGAAGUCGUAACAAGGUAGCCGUAUCGGAAGGUGCGGCUGGAUCACCUCCUUUCUAAGGAA